rnacentral:lncRNA from 1 species
GAGAGAGAGAGAGAGAGAGAGAGAGAUGUUGGAAAAUGAAAGGCAUAUUUAAAUAAUCCCUUUCUCUGAGAUGCUUUAUCACAGUCUGCAUGGCCCAUGCAGGGUGGCCUGUCCCCUGCCAGGUGGCCUUGGGUGAGCUUUUCUCUGGAGCAGAUUCAGCCUGUGCUCAUUCCAAGCCCAAGGAAUGAGUUCGGGGUGAGGUUUCAGAACUCUCCUCCCGUAACUUGCGUUUGAAAAUUGCCAGAUCAAUAAAGGGGGUAAGUUUUAUUGUUGAUGUGUUUGCUAAUAAGAAGAGCAGUUUUUCUUUUUUAAAAAUUUUAUUUUUUGAGGAGGAUGAUAAGCAUGAGGCCAACAUUUGUGUACCGCCUGUAUUGCAGGCGUUUCUCAUCAAAGCUGCCCCAAGAUUUUAUGAAGCAGGUUUUAGAACCAGUAAUCCCGCUUUACAGAGGAGAAAACUGAGGCACAGACUAGAGUCCGUCUAGCGAUGGCUGUAUACCUAGUAAGUGGUAGAGCCAAUUUUUAUUUUUAGUUAAGAGACUUUAUUCUAGAGAACAGUUUUAGAUUUUUUAGAAAAAUUGUGAAGACAGUACAGAAAGUUCCUAUGUAGGCCACAUCCCCUUUCCCCUGUUAUUAACAUAUUAGUGUGGUUCAUUUAUUAUAGCUACCAAUCCAAUUUUGAUCCAUUAGUAUUAAUUCAAGUCUGUAGCUUAUUCAGGUUCCCUUAGUUUUUCCAUAAUGUCCUGGGAUCCCAUCCAGGACACCACAUUAGUUGCCUCCUUAGGCUCCUCUUGACUGUGACACUUUCUGAGACUUUUUUGAUGACCUUUUGAUGACCUAGCUUUUUUUGAUGACCUUGACAGCUUUGAGAAGUAUUGUUAUUUUGCGUCUAUAUUAUAGAUGUCCCCUUCUUGGAAUGUGAAUGAUUUUUUUCUCAUGAUUAGAUGGAGGUUAUGGGUUUUAGGGAAGAUCACAGAGGUCAAGUGCCAUUUGCAUCCCAUCCUAUCCAAGGCAUUUACCAUCAACAUGAGCUAUGACUACUGAUGUUGAUCUUUAACAGUUGACUGAAGCUGUCUUUGUCAGGUUUCUCCACUGAAAACUCCCCCCUCCCCUUUCCAUAUUGUACACUUUGGAAGGAAAUCUCUAUAUAGCUUACUCUGAAGGAGUGGGAAGUUAUGCUCCAUCUGCUUAAGGGGAGAGUGUCUACAUAAAUUAUUGUUUUGCAAGGGAAAUUUGGCUCUUCUCCUUUAUUUAUGGAUUUAUUCAUUUAUUUAGAUCAGUGUGGACUCAUGGAUAUUUAUUCUGUAUCUUGGGUUAUAACGCAAUGCAAUUUUAUUUUUUUCUUGCUUUGACCAUCAGGAGGUCUUUCACUGGGCUCCUUAUGUCCCUUUGAUAUAUCCAUGUCAAUUAUUUUUUAAGCUCUUCUUUAAUACUUUCUGAUACUCUCAGAUGCUCCAGGGUCAUCUUGUGUAUUUCCCAUCCCUGUCCUGGGUUCAGCCAGUUCCUUAAGGCGCCCUGGUUCCUUUUAUUGGAGAAUGACGUUAGAAACCAAGAUCUGGGUGUUAGGUGUGCUUGUUGUUAUUGGGGUGUCACUUCUCGUAGGCCCUCUCAAUUGAGAGAGCAAAGGGAAAAAUGCACGUGUAUACUAACCCCUUUGUGGAUGCUUAUUUACUUCUGUAUAUAACCCGUUGUACCUAUAUUAAGUGUGAGUUCUUACUGGUGUCUCUAACUCUUAUCCGUUACCACAUGGAUCAUUCUUGCCUCCUUCCAUUGCUUAUCUGCACCUUCCCACUGCUAAGGUGACACCUGAGCCAGGAUUUUGACAGGAGGUAGUCUGACUUCAGGUAAUGCCCCUCUCCCUCCACACCAGACCUUGGCUUGCUCUUGUGACUUCUCAGUCAGUUCCAGCUCCAGAAGCUUCUAAGUGGGUUUGCCUUAUCUUGAGCAGUUUGCCUAAUGCUUUGUUCCUCAGCAAAGGCAUUUGUACUUUCUCCCAUUGCCUGCGCAGGCCAAGGACAAAACAACUGGUCUAUUUAUAAUAGCCCAGCUGCUGAGUGCUGAAAGCUCCCUGCACCUUCCUUAGAUUGAUGGAUGUUCAUUGGGGUCCAAGAUAGACCCAUCCUUUAAGUCACUGAGUUUGCCCUGGGGACAGAUUAUGAAGUUGUGAGUGUUUCCCACUUGAGCAGGGUGGAGCAUGAGAGGUUGAAGGUGUUUGUCUGUUUGGGUUGGCACCCACCUGUCAAUUUUCUCUGAUGCCCCUUCCCAGAUGCCCAGGUUGGUAUACUCUCCCCUCCAGGCAGAGGGAGGGGAUGUUCUGACUUGGAUGUGUGCCUGUGGCGGCUGCAUUCAUCAGCCCCAUGAUGGGGGUACCUGUGGAGACGGUGGUGCCCCGAUUGGCAGUGCCCUCUGCUCCCGCUGGUACCCUUGGUCCCCUGCAGCCCAGAGUCAGGGGAUGGAGGCUCUUGAAUUCCAUGAUGCCAGGGGGCUCUACUCCUGCUGUUUUUGGAGUUUGGCUCGCUGGAAGCCACAGAAAAAUGCAAACAAUCACAGUUGAUUCAUUCGGAUUUUUUGAUCUUAGCCGAAGCAGUCUUUUGGGAAGCAUUUUGCCAGUUGAUAGAAAUGUGUCCUUUAUACUUGACAGUAGGUUUAGUGACAUGUUCCCACAAUGAUGGCUGGGCGUGGACGCUUACUGACAGGCAGCUUUCUUGUAGGAGACUCUAGGCCAGACCUCCUCCAGCCAUGCCCACCUUAAUUUCUGACACUCCUCCUCCAUCUCAUCCUGUUCAGCCCUAGGAGACUCUACCCAGUUGACUCCGAGUCUUCAAAAUGCUCGUCCACACCUCUGUGCCUUUGGAUCAAUUGUUUGCUUUAUUUUGAAUGCAUCCUCCUCUUCUAAGCAACCCUUGUCCUAUUUGCACCCUGGCUGCAGAAGAGUCCUCAGGACAUGCCACCAUGGUGGGUGGCCCAGGGCUGGUGCUAUAGGUCCUCAGGCUGAUGCCGAUGCCUCCAGCAUGUGUGUGAGAAGCAGACUCUCGUUUUCACGUCUGGUUAUGACAAUGUUACAAUCACUGUGAUGACAUUUUACCUGGAAAUGGUUGAGGUCACCUCCCCUUCCCUUCGAGCUGUGCCCCUGAUCCUGCUUACUUUUAAAGUAGCCUGGAUCCUCUCUGCUGGGUUAUCCCAACUCACUCCCACCCCAGCAGCUGGGGGAUUCUGCCUUCCACUCUGGAGUUUCCCAGUGCCUCCUCCCGCCUCCGUCAGCGCUUCUCUAACGUUAUUGUAAUGAUCUGAGCAAGUCUGCCCACCCCACAUCAAGCUCCUGGACAGAAAGAAUUGUGUCUUUUUACUUGAAUCCCUAGCAAAAGAUGCAGUGCUUAGCACACAGCAGGUGCUCAAUAGGUGUUUGACGAAUGACAUUUGAAGGAAAUGAGGCUCAGAGAAACUGGCAUUUUGUGUGUAGUUGGCGUGUGAGCUCGCAUAUACGCAUGUACAUGUGUGAACACGUGCACGCACUUCCUUUAUGUGUGACAGUCUAGGUUCUUUAAGAAAGUGGAGGGAAGAGGCUGGCAGUCUACCAUCUGGUCAUGUUGAUAGCCAGGCCAAAUCAUUUCCUAUCCUUGAAUCCAAAAAUCUUUUUCCAUUCCAUUCUACCACCACUAGUCUGUAUUUUUUUUUUUUUUUUAAGGGAUAGGAUUUGGACCUGGAAAUAAUCAGCAAAUAUUUGCCUGUUUGGUCUGUGCAAGGUAUGAGCAGGAAUAUGGCAUAUUUAGCAGAUCCUCUCUCUGCCUGCCAAGAGCUGAUGAUUUACUGGAAACCCAAGGCCUGUGGGCCGGUGGAAGGAAGUCCCAGAGGACAGGGACCCUGAGAAAGGAGCAGCACUGCUGACAGAGUGGUGCUGGAGAUAGUUUCAGAGGAGACAGAGGGCCUGAGUGGGCAGGACAAGGGCAGGCCUGUGGGCGGGUGGGUUGGAGGGAGGACAGUCUGGAUGGGGGUGGAGACAAAGACAGGCAUGGUUUGUGUUUAUGGGACGUUGAGAGGGCCAUGAACUUGCCAGGCUCUAGGUUGGGAUUGGAUGGGCCCAGUUAUGGAGGCUUUGCAACCUGUGGAUGGCCAGAAACUUCUCUUUGUUUUCUUGUGCCCCCCCCACCCAAUACUCCUAGCGGAAUAGAAAAGAUUUUGUCUACAAAGGGGAUAGUAUUGGUUAUUGAAUUAUCCCAUUUUUUUUAUUAUUCAUUUUAUUACUCCUUUUGCUGUGGAAGGAUGACUUGAUCAGCGUUUCUGAUCCUUACAGUGAAUGUUAGGUCCCUGAGUUGAUGGAAUUCCAGUCCAUAAAAAAGCCAGCUUGAUAUCUUAGAUAGUUUGAACAAUGGCUUUCUUGGUUAUUGUAAAAUCUAGGCAGAAAAUUUAGACUUGUUCUAGGAAGCACAAGAAAGCCAUUGUAGCUUUUUGAGCAGAGAAAUAACGCAUGCUGGGUACACGAUAAAAAUGUGCUGUGUGUUAGGUGGCAGAGGAUAGAGAUGUCCUCUGCGUGCUUCCUUAGAAUGUGCCAGACACAUACCUGAAGGCCCCCUUUCUCCAGAAUAGCCCUAUGAGCUUCACAUACUCAUUCAUCUCCACUUGUAGCCCGUUUUUCAGAUCUUGAAACAGAUUCAGAAAAGUCUAUGGUUUUUACUUUGCAGAAGGUCUCCCAGCCAGUCAAGGAUGGAGUCUGAGUUCAGAUCCAGACUGAGUUCACACUUAAUCUGAAUUCUUCCUGACUGUAUCACAAAGUCAUCUUGGAGGGACCAGAUUAAUGGCUACUGUAGGUGGUAGCUAUAUUGGUGUUCAUUGUAAGUUAUUUCACCUUUGCUGCAUGUUGGAAGCCUUCAUAAUAAAAUGUGAAUAUUUAUGUCCUUCUAAAAUUCAUAGGUCGAAAUCCCAACCCUUGAUGUUAUGGUAGUAAGAGAUGGAGGCUUUGGGAGGUAAUUAGUUUAUGAGGAUGAAGCCCUUAUGAGAGGAACCUUGGAGAACUUCCUCGCCCCUUCUGCCAUGUGAGGACACAGCAAGAAGAUAGCCGUCUACGAAGCAAAGUGAGCUCUCACCAGACACUGAACUGGCCAGUGCUUUGAUUCUGGACUUCCCAGCCUCCAGAACUGUGGGGAAUAAAUGUUUGUUGUUGAAAAAUAAAAUAAAAUAAAAAUUAAAAAAUAGGAGUUCCCAUUGUAGCGCAACAGAAACGAAUCUGACUAGGAUCCAUGAGGAUGCAGGUUUGAUCCCUGGCCCCGCUCCGUGGGUUAAGGAUCCAGUGUUGCUGUGAGCUAUGGUGUAGGUCACAGACACGGCUUGGAUUCCACGUUGCUGUGGCUGUGGCGUAGGCUGGCCGCUGCGGCUCCAAUUAGACGCCUAGCCUAGGAACCUCCAUAUACUGCAGGUGCGACCCUAAAA